rnacentral:rRNA from 1 species
CCUACGGGAGGCAGCAGUGAGGAAUAUUGGUCAAUGGGCGGGAGCCUGAACCAGCCAAGUCGCGUGAGGGACGACGGUCCUAUGGAUUGUAAACUUCUUUUGUCAAGGGACAAAAUCAGGCUCGAGAGCCUGACCGAGGGUACUUGAAGAAAAAGCAUCGGCUAACUCCGUGCCAGCAGCCGCGGUAAUACGGAGGAUGCGAGCGUUAUCCGGAUUUAUUGGGUUUAAAGGGUGCGUGGGCGGGCUGUUAAGUCAGCGGUAAAAGCCCGGGGCUCAACCCCGGCGAGCCGUUGAAACUGGCUGUCUUGAGAUGUCGAGAGGGAGGCGGAAUGCGCAGUGUAGCGGUGAAAUGCUUAGAUAUUGCGCAGAACUCCGAUUGCGAAGGCAGCAUACCGGCGGCGAUCUGACGCUGAGGCACGAAAGCGUGGGUAUCGAACAGGAUUAGAUACCCGUGUAGUC